GGGUGUCAGCUGCAUGUCGCAGCGGGCAGGUUCAUGCGUCGGUCGGGCCGCCACG
rnacentral:ncRNA from 1 species